rnacentral:misc_RNA from 1 species
GACGGCUUCGUGAUGGGCGAAGGCGCGGGGAUUGUGGUCAUCGAAACACUCGACCAUGCGCUGAGCCGCGGAGCGACACCAAUCGCCGAACUCGUCGGCUACGGCACCACAUCCGACGCCUACCAUAUGACCGCCGGACCGGACGACGGGGACGGCGCGCGGCGCUCGAUUGAAAUUGCGCUGCGACAGGCCGGGAUUUCGCCGAUCGAGGUUCAGCAUCU